rnacentral:sRNA from 1 species
GAAAUCAAGACGGUAAAUCCUCUGGAGGUCUAUGAAGAAAGAGGACCAGAGAAAGCCAGUCUAUGUUUAUUUCAGGUCCUGCUGGUCAAUCUUUGUGAAGGAACCUUCUUAAUGUCGGUUGGUGAUGAAAAAGACAUCCUGCCACCGAAGCUUCAGGAUGACAUCUUAGACUCUCUUGGUCAGGGGAUCAGUGAGUUAAAGACUGCAGAACAAAUCAACGAGCAUGUUUCAGGCCCCUUUGUACAGUUCUUUGUCAAGAUUGUGGGCCAUUAUGCUUCCUAUAUCAAGCGGGAGGCAAAUGGGCAAGGCCACUUCCAAGAAAGAUCCUUCUGUAAGGCUCUGACCUCCAAGACCAACCGCCGAUUUGUGAAGAAGUUUGUGAAGACACAGCUCUUCUCACUUUUCAUCCAGGAAGCCGAGAAGAGCAAGAAUCCUCCUGCAGGCUAUUUCCAACAGAAAAUACUUGAAUAUGAGGAACAGAAGAAACAGAAGAAACCAAGGGAAAAAACUGUGAAGUAAGAGCUGCGGUGAAUAAGAAUGACUAGAGCUACACACCAUUUCUGGACUUCAGCCCCUGCCAGUGUGGCAGGAUCAGCAAAACUGUCAGCCCCCAAAAUCCAUAUCCUCACUCUGAGUCUUGGUAUCCAGGUAUUGCUUCAAACUGGUGUCUGAGAUUUGGAUCCCUGGUAUUGAUUUCUCAGGACUUUGGAGGGCUCUGACACCAUGCUCACAGAACUGGGCUCAGAGCUCCAUUUUUUGCAGAGGUGACACAGGUAGGAAACAGUAGUACAUGUGUUGUAGACACUUGGUUAGAAGCUGCUGCAACUGCCCUCUCCCAUCAUUAUAACAUCUUCAACAGAGAACACACUUUGUGGUCGAAAGGCUCAGCCUCUCUACAUGAAGUCUGUGGACACGUAAGGACGAGAGUAAAGAGGAAAAUCUUAUUUUUA